AGUGAACGCUGGCGGUAGGCCUAACACAUGCAAGUCGAACGGCAGCACAGUAAGAGCUUGCUCUUACGGGUGGCGAGUGGCGGACGGGUGAGGAAUACAUCGGAAUCUACUUUUUCGUGGGGGAUAACGUAGGGAAACUUACGCUAAUACCGCAUACGACCUACGGGUGAAAGCAGGGGAUCUUCGGACCUUGCGCGAUUGAAUGAGCCGAUGUCGGAUUAGCUAGUUGGCGGGGUGAAGGCCCACCAAGGCGACGAUCCGUAGCUGGUCUGAGAGGAUGAUCAGCCACACUGGAACUGAGACACGGUCCAGACUCCUACGGGAGGCAGCAGUGGGGAAUAUUGGACAAUGGGCGCAAGCCUGAUCCAGCCAUACCGCGUGGGUGAAGAAGGCCUUCGGGUUGUAAAGCCCUUUUGUUGGGAAAGAAAAGCAGCAGGUUAAUACCCCGCUGUUCGGACGGUACCCAAAGAAUAAGCACCGGCUAACUUCGG
rnacentral:rRNA from 1 species